UUAAUAGGAAGAUAUGGGACAUAGAAGCUUGUGGUGUCAGGAUAGGAAUCGAGAGGGAUAGAGAGAUAGAGGGAUAGAGAGGUAGAGGGGUGAAUAGAUACUAGAAACCAAUUAUCUGAGGGAAAAUCAUCCAAGGGAGUGUCAGACUCUUACUGACUAAACCCCGUUCCUACUCCUGCUUUUAAAGCCAGAUCCCGUUAAUUUUUCUUCUUUCGUCGUUUAUCGUCAUUCCUUCACUCCUUCUCCUUGUGAGAAGAGGCCUUUCCUCAGCAGUGGAAGAUUAUAGGAUGACGAUGAUGAUGAUGACUCUUCAUAGAACAUAACAGUUAUUUCUUCUCCGUGUAAGAAGAUACCGUUUUUUCAGCAAUGGCAUAGUUACAGGCGAUGUUGACGAUGAGUCCUUAUAAAACAACAAAUUAAUUCAAAGGUGAUUUGAUUAGUGCGGGGGAAUUGCACAGCUCGAUUCCCCUUAGUCCUUUCCAAGAUAAUCGGCGAAGCGCUACUGCUUCAUGGUAGACCCACCACCAUCCAACCCACUCGCACGAAGCGCUUCGCUUCAAGAUAUUUCAAGAUACGUAUAACCUGGAUGUCUUCAAAGCCCGAGUGAAUAGGUUGCUUAUGGGCAGACGUGCUCCAUCGUAGGCCGCAUCAUCACUUACCAUCAGGUGAGAUAGCGGCCAAACGUCGACCCAUCAAAUGUAAAAAAAAAUGUAAUUUAAAAAACUAAAAAACCCGACUGCGUUUCUUUAUAAUAUGAAAAUGAAAAAACCCUAAAACAAGAAAAUCAUCGUAAAAUUGAAGCAGUCGGGACCCAUUCUAGAAAGCCAGCCAUAUGUGCCCUCACUAAGUCUUCAUAUUUAGAAUGGGUCCCGACUGCUUCAAUUUUACGAUGAUUUUCUUGUUUUAGGGUUUUUUCAUUUUCAUAUUAUAAAGAAACGCAGUCGGGUUUUUUAGUUUUUUAAAUUACC